UACAGAGGGGGCAAGCGUUGUUCGGAAUUACUGGGCGUAAAGGGCGCGUAGGCGGCCUUCUAAGUCGAACGUGAAAUCCCCGGGCUCAACCCGGGAACUGCGUCCGAUACUGGAAGGCUUGAAUCCGGGAGAGGGAUGUGGAAUUCCAGGUGUAGCGGUGAAAUGCGUAGAUAUCCGAAGGAACAUCAGUGGCGAAAGCGACUUCCUGGACCAGAACUGACGAUCAGGCACGAAAGCGUGGGGAGCAAACAGG
rnacentral:rRNA from 1 species